GAUCAUGGCUCAGGACGAACGCUGGCGGCGUGCUUAACACAUGCAAGUCGAACGGAGCACCCUUGAUUGAGGUUUCGGCCAAAUGAUAGGAAUGCUUAGUGGCGGACUGGUGAGUAACGCGUGAGGAACCUGCCUUUCAGAGGGGGACGAACAGUUGGAAACGACUGCUAAUACCGCAUGACGCAUUUUGUAUCGCAUGGUCGGAAAUAGCCAAACGAAUUUAUUCGCUGAAAGAAUGG
rnacentral:rRNA from 1 species